GCCCAGGUGGCGGAAUGGGUAGACGCACUGGAUUUAGGUUCCAGCGCCGCAAGGCGUGGAGGUUCGAGUCCUCUCCUGGGCA
rnacentral:tRNA from 1 species